rnacentral:rRNA from 1 species
CGCAGCCGCGGUAAUUCCAGCUCCAAUAGCGUAUAUUAAAGUUGUUGCAGUUAAAAAGCUCGUAGUUGAAUUUCGGGGUUAGUAGGUUGGUCAUGCCUCUGGUAUGCACUGGUCUUACUGAUUCCUCCUUCCUGAUGAACCGUAAUGCCAUUAAUUUGGUGUUGCGGGGAAACUGGACUGUUACUUUGAAAAAAAUUAGAGUGUUUAAAGCAGGCUAACGCUUGAAUACAUUAGCAUGGAAUAAUGAAAUAGGACGUUCGAUCUUAUUUUGUUGGUUUCUAGGAUUGACGUAAUGAUUAAUAGGGAUAGUUGGGGGCAUUAGUAUUCAAUUGUCAGAGGUGAAAUUCUUGGAUUUAUUGAAGACUAACUACUGCGAAAGCAUUUGCCAAGGAUGUUUUCAUUAAUCAAGAACGAAAGUUAGGGGAUCGAAGACGAUCAGAUACCGUCGUA